rnacentral:rRNA from 1 species
GACGAACGCUGGCGGCGUGCCUAAUACAUGCAAGUCGAGCGAAGUUUUUCUGGUGCUUGCACUAGAAAAACUUAGCGGCGAACGGGUGAGUAACACGUAAAGAACCUGCCUCAUAGACUGGGACAACUAUUGGAAACGAUAGCUAAUACCGGAUAACAGUAUUUCUCGCAUGAGAGAUAUUUAAAAGUUGGUUAUGCUAACACUAUGAGAUGGCUUUGCGGUGCAUUAGCUAGUUGGUGGGGUAAAGGCCCACCAAGGCGACGAUGCAUAGCCGACCUGAGAGGGUGAUCGGCCACACUGGGACUGAGACACGGCCCAGACUCCUACGGGAGGCAGCAGUAGGGAAUCUUCCGCAAUGGGCGAAAGCCUGACGGAGCAACGCCGCGUGAGUGAAGAAGGAGUUCGGUUCGUAAAGCUCUGUUGUUAGGGAAGAAUGGAUAUGUAGUAACUAUACAUGUAAGAGACGGUACCUAACCAGAAAGCCACGGCUAACUACGUG